rnacentral:lncRNA from 1 species
GCCACCUCUCAGGCUUUGGGUUUGGGUCUGAUGGCUUGCUGGGGUCUCCAGAGCGUGCGGCUUCCUCCUCUCCGGUUACCACUCUUACCCAGACCAUGUACAACCUCGCAGGGCUCGGCAGCGAGACCCCAAAAACUCAAGUAGGAAGCCUGUCGUUCCAGAACAGGCUGACAGACCUGUCCCUGUCCAGACGUACCUCUGAGUGCUCCCUGUCAUCUGAGUCCUCAGAAUCUUCUGAUGCAGGUAAGGCCCAGGGCCCGUAGUGGGGGUACACACACCACCACCACCACCACCACCACCACCAAAAGAGAUCAGGGAACUUUCUGGACCUUCUAAAUUCUCUGCCCAUGAGAUAGAUCCCGGUCCUUUCCACAGAAUCAUCCCCCAGCUUGCCUUCAAAACUAUGAAGCAAACAAACCUCUGGUGGGUCUUACCACACCCAGCCUAAACUGGGAGUCUGGGGAAGGACGACUCUUGGUAGGAGAUGGUAUCUUACUUAUUUGAAACCUAGCGGUAAAGCCACUGAACUACAGCUCCACCCAGACAGCACUUGGUACCAAAAGCCUGUCCUUGUGAAGCAUUCUCUUAAGCUGUAGCCUUUUCUCCUUAGAAAACCAUUAUCUUUUCCAAGUUGUUUUAAACCAGCUUAAGAAAAAUGCUUAGAAAGCACU